rnacentral:rRNA from 1 species
GACGAACGCUGGCGGCGUGCCUAAUACAUGCAAGUCGAACGCAGUGGGGACGGGUGAGUAACAAGUGGGUAACCUCCCAUCAGAGAGGAUAACACUUGGAAACAGAUGCUAAACCGAUCCUGAUGGAUGGACCCGCGGUGCAUUAUCUAGUUGGUGAGGUAACGGCUCACCAAGGCCACAAUGCAGAGCCGGCCUGAGAGGGUGAUCGGCCACACGGGGACUGAGACACGGCCCAGACUCCGACGGGAAGCAGCAGUAGGGAAUUUUCGGCAAUGGACGAAAGUCUGACCGAGCAAUGCCGCGUGAGUGAAGAAGGUUUUCGGAUCGUAAAACUCUGUUGUUAGAGAAGCGGUAUCUAACCAGAAAGCCACGGCUAACUACGUGCCAGCCGCCGCGGUAAUUC